UACGUAGGUGGCAAGCGUUGUCCGGAUUUAUUGGGCGUAAAGCGCUCGCAGGCGGUCUUUUUAAGUCUGAUGUGAAAUCUCGCGGCUCAACCGCGAACGGUCAUUGGAAACUGGAGGACUUGAGUACAGAAGAGGAGAGUGGAAUUCCACGUGUAGCGGUGAAAUGCGUAGAGAUGUGGAGGAACACCAGUGGCGAAGGCGACUCUCUGGUCUGUAACUGACGCUGAGGAGCGAAAGCGUGGGGAGCGAACAGG
rnacentral:rRNA from 1 species